GUCCAUUUAUUGGACAAUGGUGUAAUGUAAAUAACACUUAAUAAAGAUUUAAUUCUUAUCAUGUAAAGGUCGUAACCCAAAUUAAAGUAAAUCAAAGUGUAUCAAAUAUGACAGAAAGUACGAAAUAUGUUUCAAAGGCAAAACCUAAAUUAAUAAUAAAUUUGUAAAUACCUGUAUUGCAAAGCCUGUGUUGCCAUUUAUCACAAUCUUCACAUUGGAGAGCAUGUUGUCUUGGUCGGACUUGCUGGUCACAUAGCACACAGGGGUACGACAUGAUGAACAGCAAUUUCCCAAAUGAGUGCCACCGACAUUUCUGGUUACUUUUAUAAAGCAAGGUCGGUACAUCAAAAAGACUGCUCAAACAGCUUGUAUUUUUACAAGAAUUUCACUACCAAAUGUAUGUUUUCACUCCGCUUG
rnacentral:lncRNA from 1 species